rnacentral:misc_RNA from 1 species
UCCGGUUUGUCACCGGCAGUCUGGCGUGAGUCCCCAACUUAAUGCUGGCAACACACCACGGGGGUUGUGCUCGUUGCGGGACUUAACCCAACAUCUCACGACACGAGCUGACGACAGCCACGCACCACCUGUGAUCGAGUCCCGAAGGAGGGCCGUAUUUCUACGGCUUUCCCGACCAUGUCAAGCCUUGGUAAGGUUCUUCGCGUCGCGUCGAAUUAAAGAACAUGCUCCGCUGCUUGUGCGGGCCCCCGUCAAUUCUUUUGAGUUUUAGCCUUGCGGCCGUACUCCCCAGGCGGAACACUUAUCGCGUUGGCUUCGGCACGGACAGAUUCGACUCCGCCCACACCUAGUGUUCAUCGUUUACGGCGUGGACUAC